ACUCCGUGAAGUCGGAAUCGCUAGUAAUCGUGGAUCAGAAUGCCACGGUAAUACGUUCCCGGGCCUUGUACACACCGCCCGUCACACCAUGGGAGUGGGCUGCAAAAGAAGUAGGUAGUUUAACCUUCGGGAGGACGCUUACCACUUUGUGGUUCAUGACUGGGGUGAAGUCGUAACAAGGUAGCGCUAGGGGAACCUGGCGCUGGAUCACCUCCUUA
rnacentral:rRNA from 1 species